ensembl:lncRNA
CAGCUCUAAUGUUCCAUGACUAAGCACCUGGAGACUCCUCAGAUUCCAGAACUCUCUGGAAGCAAUGGCUGCUGAGGGGAAGCUGCUGCUUCUUGGCAGAGUCUCAACCAACUGAGCUACAAGGGAAGUCGAUACGGAUGGGUUUAAUAAAAUCUUGGGCAUACGUAGAUGACACUUCUAUCAAAAUGAUCAGCAGACCAAAGAGGAACUUUCAUCCCAAUGGUGAGAUGUUUCCACUCUCCAGACUUAUAAGGACUACCCUAACUUUGCAAACAACCGCUCAAGUCUGUGAUGAAUUGCCCCUCAGUGGUGGCAGGAAAAGUUCACACCCGUGAUCGUCACGCUCAUCAGACGCAAGAUUUACACAGCGCUUUGUACUUUACACCAUAUCUCACUGGAUCAUCACAGCAGCUUUGCAGCCUUGUGGGUGCAGAGGGCAGAUGAGGAAAUUGAGGUUCAGAGAUGAGA